UAUCUCUGUAGAGUCUGCAUAUCAAUAAGCGGAGGAAAAGAAACUAACAUAGGAUUCCCUCAGUAACGGCGAGUGAAGCGGGAAGAGCUCAAAUUUGAAAUCUUCAAGGUUCUACCUUGACGAAUUGUAGUUUAAAGAAGUGUUUUCUGUUGGAGUUUUGGUAAAAGUUCUUUGGAAUAGGACAUCAUAGAGGGUGAGAAUCCCGUAUUUGACCAUUACUUUCCAGCGUUGUGAUACACUUUCAAAGAGUCGGAUUGUUUGGGAAUGCAGUCCAAAAUGGGUGGUAAAUUUCAUCUAAAGCUAAAUACUGGCGAGAGACCGAUAGCGAACAAGUACCGUGAGGGAAAGAUGAAAAGAACUUUGAAAAGAGAGUUAAACAGUACGUGAAAUUGUCAAAAGGGAAGCGUUUGACACCAGUGUUGUUUUCUCGAAAAUCAAUUAAGAAUGGCAUGAUUUUGUGUUGUAUUGACCUUUAUCAGCUUUCUGCACUCUUUUCUUAGUCUUUUUUAAUGCACUUUUCGGUUAACAAGUCAACAUCAAUUUCUUUUGUUGUAAAAGAGUCAUUCGGAAGGUGGCUUUCUUUUCGGAGAAAGUGUUUAUAGCCCUUAUGCCUCUACAAUCGGAGAGAUUAAGGUCUGCAGCGUAGAUCCUUCGGGGUUAGAUACAUUUGUGCUAAGUUAGUAGCCUUUCAUAGACAACUUGUUGACUAUGAUCAGUCAUGUAGGCUUACUCGCUUAGUGCUAUUUUACCUACGCUUAGGAUGUUGAAGAUGUAGCACAUCAU
rnacentral:rRNA from 1 species